AUAUUACUCCCUCCGUCCGGAAAUACUUGUCGAAAAAUGCAUAAAAAUGAAUGUAUCUAGAACUAAAAUACAUCUAGAUACAUCCAUUCCUCCGACGAGUAUUUCCGGACAGAGGGAGUAUUUU
rnacentral:pre_miRNA from 1 species